GACAAGGUUCCAGGCCCUACGGGGUGCAGCAGGCGCGAAACCUCCGCAAUGUGAGAAAUCGCGACGGGGGGAUCCCAAGUGCCAUUCUUAACGGGAUGGCUUUUCAUUAGUGUAAAGAGCUUUUGGAAUAAGGGCUGGGCAAGACCGGUGCCAGCCGCCGCGGUAACACCGGCAGCUCUAGUGGUAGCAGUUUUUAUUGGGCCUAAAGCGUCCGUAGCCGGUUUAAUAAGUCUCUGGUGAAAUCCUGUAGCUUAACUGUGGGAAUUGCUGGAGAUACUAUUAGACUUGAGACCGGGAGAGGUUAGAGGUACUCCCAGGGUAGAGGUGAAAUUCUGUAAUCCUGGGAGGACCGCCUGUUGCGAAGGCGUCUAACUGGAACGGUUCUGACGGUGAGGGACGAAAGUUAGGGGCGCGAACCGGAUUAGAUACCCGGGUAGUCCUAACUGUAAACGAUGCGGACUUGGUGUUGGGGUGGCUUUGAGCUGCUCCAGUGCCGAAGGGAAGCUGUUAAGUCCGCCGCCUGGGAAGUACGGUCGCAAGACUGAAACUUAA
rnacentral:rRNA from 1 species